rnacentral:rRNA from 1 species
GACGAACGCUGGCGGCGUGCUUAACACAUGCAAGUCGAACGGAAAGGCCCUGCUUUUGUGGGGUGCUCGAGUGGCGAACGGGUGAGUAACACGUGAGUAACCUGCCCUUGACUUUGGGAUAACUUCAGGAAACUGGGGCUAAUACCGGAUAGGAGCUCCUGCUGCAUGGUGGGGGUUGGAAAGUUUCGGCGGUUGGGGAUGGACUCGCGGCUUAUCAGCUUGUUGGUGGGGGAGUGGCUUACCAAGGCUUUGACGGGUAGCCGGCCUGAGAGGGUGACCGGCGACAUUGGGACUGAGAUACGGCCCAGACUCCUACGGGAGGCAGCAGUGGGGAAUAUUGCACAAUGGGCGGAAGCCUGAUGCAGCAACGCCGCGUGCGGGAUGACGGCCUUCGGGUUGUAAACCGCUUUCGCCUGUGACGAAGCGUGAGUGACGGUAAUGGGUAAAGAAGCACCGGCUAACUACGUG